rnacentral:lncRNA from 1 species
UUUCGAAUAUAACAGUCCUCUCUCUCUCUCUCUCUCUCUCUCUCUCUCUCUCUCUCUCUCUCCCUGCAGUUAGAUUUAUUUUUUAAUUAUUUUCACCCGUUUGAUCAUAUUAUUUAACCAACAACCCAUUCAAUCCGGAGGACCACUAUUAUCCUAACCGCACAUUUAUUUAUCCAACGGUUGAAAACUUAUAAGUACAAAUGAUCGAGUUUAUAUUCAUAAGAAUAUAAUAUUCCUAGCCUGCAUAUAUAUAUAUAUAUAUAGUGUAAAAAAAAAUCACAUAAAAUUGUGUAUAUAU